GAGCGAACGCUGGCGGCAGGCCUAACACAUGCAAGUCGAACGAACUCUUCGGAGUUAGUGGCGGACGGGUGAGUAACACGUGGGAACGUGCCUUUUGGUUCGGAAUAACUCAGGGAAACUUGUGCUAAUACCGAAUGCGCCCUUCGGGGGAAAGAUUUAUCGCCAUUAGAGCGGCCCGCGUCUGAUUAGCUAGUUGGUGAGGUAACGGCUCACCAAGGCGACGAUCAGUAGCUGGUCUGAGAGGAUGACCAGCCACACUGGGACUGAGACACGGCCCAGACUCCUACGGGAGGCAGCAGUGGGGAAUCUUGCGCAAUGGGCGAAAGCCUGACGCAGCCAUGCCGCGUGAAUGAUGAAGGUCUUAGGAUUGUAAAAUUCUUUCACCGGGGACGAUAAUGACGGUACCCGGAGAAGAAGCCCCGGCUAACUUCGUG
rnacentral:rRNA from 1 species